ACCUUCCCUCCCUCUUCCCCAGCUAACUUCCUGCUUUGACCCCUAUAAGAAUCCCUGUGAAAAAAUAAACUUUGGCAGCUUGAUCAGAGUUCUUUGUCUUACUGUCAUUCUUCGUGUCUCUUGUCCCAUCAUUCCAGGUCCCUGGGAGUUCGAGUCUCCAUCUCCCGCCCUGCUGGCCGGGGCAAAGAAGGAAUGAAUGAGUUACAGUUCCUUGUGCCAAAACCAUAAUUCUUGCCCAAGUUUGAGGAUACCCUUGGGUCCUCCCUGGAUAUAGACCUUGUCCUUGAUCAUGGGUCCAGCAGGUUUCUUUAAAACUGAGGCUAUCUCAGCCAUGGUAGACCUUCUGGGCAGUUUCUGCCAUUUCAGAGAUCAGCUUUCCCUCAAACACUUGUAACUUUUGGAGCUUUCUCCAUAUGUCUGGGGCUGACUAAGAAAUGAAAGCCAUAUUAAUGGUUUUUCAGUUCUCAGGUGCCUCUGGAUCGAUAGGAGAGUAGAGGCGAUAGGCAUUAUAAAGCCUUUCCAAAAGGUGGCAGGUGACUCAUCUGGCUCUUGAAGAGUAUCACUCACCUUGGUGAGGUUGGUGGGUUUUCUAGCUGCCACCCAUAAUCCCUGCAGCAGAGUCUGGCGAUACUGAAGCAAGUGCUCCCUACCUUGAUUGGUGUUGGGGUUCCAAUUGGGAGCAGGCUGCCUCUCAGAGUUCCUCCGAAGUCAACAGGAUCUGCAAAAGCUGAUAACAGUCUUCCCAGAGGACCUGGGUUCAAUUCCCAGCACCCACAUG